AUACUUACCUGGCUCAGGAGGUACCGUGAUCAAGUAGGCGGUUCUCCCAUUGCGAGGCCUUACCAUUGCACUUCGGUGGGCUGACCAAUGCGAUUCUGUUUGGAACUCGGGAGUACAAUUUCUGAAAGUGGGGACUGCGUUCGCGCUAUCCCCC